rnacentral:rRNA from 1 species
AGAAUCAACGCUGGCGGCGUGCCUAACACAUGCAAGUCGAACGAGAAAGUGGGAGCAAUCCCACGAGUAAAGUGGCGCACGGGUGAGUAACACGUGACUAACCUACCCUUGAGUGGGGGAUAACCUAGGGAAACCUGGGCUAAUACCGCAUAAUACCUACGGGUCAAAAGGAGCAAUUCGCUUUAGGAGGGGGUCGCGGCAGAUUAGUUAGUUGGCGGGGUAAUGGCCCACCAAGACAGUGAUCUGUAUCCGGCCUGAGAGGGCGCACGGACACACUGGAACUGAAACACGGUCCAGACUCCUACGGGAGGCAGCAGUGGGGAAUUUUGCGCAAUGGGGGAAACCCUGACGCAGCAACGCCGCGUGGAGGAUGAAGCCCCUUGGGGCGUAAACUCCUUUCGAUCGGGAAGAUAAUGACGGUACCGGAAGAAGAAGCCCCGGCUAACUUCGCGCCAGCAGCCGC